rnacentral:rRNA from 1 species
GAUGAACGCUGGCGGCGUGCUUAACACAUGCAAGUCGAACGGAAAGGCCCAAGCUUGCUUGGGUACUCGAGUGGCGAACGGGUGAGUAACACGUGGGUGAUCUGCCCUGCACUUCGGGAUAAGCCUGGGAAACUGGGUCUAAUACCGGAUAGGACCACAUUUUGGAUGGUGUGGUGGAAAGUUUUUCGGUGUGGGAUGAGCUCGGGGCCUAUCAGCUUGUUGGUGGGGUAAUGGCCUACCAAGGCGUCGACGGGUAGCCGGCCUGAGAGGGUGUAAGGCCGUCUUGGGUCUGAGAUGAGGCCCAGACAGCUAAGGGAGGGAGCAGUGGGGAAUAUUGCACAAUGGGCGCAAGCCUGAUGCAGCGACGCCGCGUGGGGGAUGACGGCCUUCGGGUUGUAAACUCCUUUCGCUAGGGACGAAGCGUUAUGUGACGGUACCUGGAGAAGAAGCACCGGCUAACUACGUG